AUUGAACGCUGGCGGCAGGCUUCACACAUGCAAGUCGAGCGAGCGGCGGACGGGUGAGUAAUGUCUGGGAAACUGCCUGAUGGAGGGGGAUAACUACUGGAAACGGUAGCUAAUACCGCAUACCAUCAGAUGUGCCCAGCUGGGAUUAGCUAGUAGGUGGGGUAAAGGCUCACCUAGGCGACGAUCCCUAGCGGGUCUGAGAGGAUGACCAGCCACACGGGAACUGAGACCCGGUCAAGACUCCUACGGGCGGCAGUAGUGGGGAAUAUUGAACAAUGGGCGCAAGCCUGAUGCAGCCAUGCCGAGUGUGGGAAGAAGGCCGUCGGGUUGUAAAGAACUUUCAGCGAGGAGGCGUUACUCGCAGAAGAAGCACCGGCUAACUCCGUGCCAGCAGCCGCGGUAAUAC
rnacentral:rRNA from 1 species